rnacentral:rRNA from 1 species
UGGGCAACCUGCCCCUCUCUCUGGGAUAACCCCGGGAAACCGGAGCUAAUACCGGAUACUCCGGCUGGAUCGCAUGGUCCGGCCGGGAAAGGUCCGCCGGAGAGGGAUGGGCCCGCGGCCUAUCAGCUUGUUGGUGGGUCAUGGCUCACCAAGGCGACGACGGGUAGCUGGUCUGAGA